UGAGAAGGCGAUCAACAUGAC
rnacentral:miRNA from 1 species